UGAUCCUUGGGCUGUGAUAUGUACGUGGUUUGAAUCCGCAGAAUUCAAGGUGAUCAUUUAAUUUUGUUCUUAGAGAUUGAUUGCCUACUUAUGUUUGAGAGAUGAAGGAGUGUCACACAUAAGGUCAGGCACGUGGACACACACACACCCACACACAUACUGAACACAGAUUUACUUAACGUGGUCUACUGCCAACUUUUGAAUGACUUGGACAGUCUAUUGCUUGUUUGAAUGACAGAAAUUAAGCGAAAAGAAUUCUGCAAGUAGAAAAGAAAAAGUGAUCAACCAUCGUGGUGGAGCAAAAUCGUUUGCUGUUUAUUAUGAAAAAGAAAAAGAAAAAGAAAGAGAGGUAAGCAAGAUUGAUCUACAGAAUUUUAUAUUGUAACUUUGACAUUCAUAAAACUAUUAUAAUUUUAACUGAUGUUAACAUAUAUGCACUAACAUUUUGAAGCGUGCUGCUGCGCGUGAGGCUGCGGGUGUUGUUGACACACCUGAAGAUGCUAACAGUCAAGAGGGGAGGAUUGAGUUCUACCGCCGGAUGCAUUUUAAUGUAACUAAGGGCUGGGUUUCUCCUCUCGCACAGAAAAACUAUGUAAGAAUCUAAUUUUUGUGUGCAGAAUUUUAUUUGGAUAAUAUUAUUAUUGUUAAUACUUACGAGAAUGCAUUUUAUUAUAGGAUGAAAUGUUGAUACUCAAAGAUACACCUCCAGCAGAAGGGUCUAAUCCAAUGACCGAGGAUGAAAUAUGUGAUGAGGUAUUAGGAAAGAGACGUAACUACAUUCGUGGACAUGGAAAUGGGUUUAUAUCAACAUCACAAUCUGUAGUAUACAACUCCAACAAUGUAGCUUUUGAAGAGUAUAGGCGAAAAGCAGAGGAAACCGAGAGGCAACU
rnacentral:lncRNA from 1 species